CAAAAACAUUGCUUUUUGACUUAUUAAUAAAAAGUAACUCCUGCCCAGUGAUUAAUUUUCAACGGCCGCGGUAUCCUAACCGUGCAAAGGUAGCAUAAUCAUUUGCCCAUUAAUUGUGGGCUAGAAUGAACGGAUAAACGAAAUAAAAACUGUCUCAACUAAAUAUAUAAAAAUUAAUAUCUAAUUGAAGAAGCUUAGAUAACACCAAAGGACAAGAAGACCCUAUAGAGCUUUAUUUUAAAUAAAGAAUAUACUUUACAAAAAAUUCGGUUGGGGCGACCAAGGAACAAUCAAACAUCCUACAUAAACAAAGAUCAACAAAUCAAGUAAAAGACCCUUCAAAAAGAUCAAAGAAAUAAGCUACCUUAGGGAUAACAGGCUAAUCCCAUUAAAGAGCCCUUAUCAAUAAUGGGGUUUGGCACCUCGAUGUUGGCUUAGGGUAUCUAUAUGACGCAAAAGUUAUAUAAAGAUGGUUUGUUCAACCAAUAAUUUCCUACGUGAUCU
rnacentral:rRNA from 1 species